GCUCGAAUUUGCGCCUGUUGACCAAGCUGACCUGUGACUCGCGUACACUGAGGCCUGACAUCGAGGCGCUGCUUAUACACGAGUGGAUUUCACGAGUCAUUUAGCACGUUAAUGUAGCCUCUAAACCCCUCAACGUACAAAAUCGCUACUUUCGAAAAAGGGGAAACUGUUCGUGUAUGAUGUGCUUUCAACUGAGCAAGUUUCUUUAUUUCGCUUGCAAACGUUUGGGUCACUCCUCUUUAGCGCGGGUACCGAGUUCAAAUCAGGAAAUGAACUCUCUAUGAGCGCCGUCCUAAAAGGCCUUAUCUGCUGUAAGCUCACGAACAAAUAUUGAACACCGCCGAUAUAUACACGAAAGGUAAUGGAUGCAUCUGAGCGCCCUUUGAUCGAUCGGAUUCUCCUCCGAACGAAUCUGAGCCCCGAUAGAGUAACCACGCCUCAAUUCAUGCUGACGCACAGCCUAACGGACACCGGCCUCUGCUAACCGAAGAGAAACGUUUUUGCCGUUUUCCAAAUGCCGUCCAAAUGGUGUCUACGAUGUGCCUCGCUUUCUGGUUUUUGCUAAUCUCGUAGAUAUGGAACAGUCUUCUAACGAAAAUUAUUGCAAAUCCGCCGAUGAUCGAAAAUGGCUAUUAAAUAUAGCCCGAGCUAGAAUUUACUAGAGGUUAACGAAAAUUAAUAUAGUUAAAUAGGCUUUGUCUGAGCUGCCUUCGACGAAAUCAAUGACGGUACGACUGUCAACUCGCACUUUCAUAGGAAGCAGCAACAACUGGUGUUUGUCUUGAGUCUACGUUUGGCUGAGAGAGACGGAGUGCGAACCUUUGGGCGAGGUAGCGACCCAACCCCGAUUCUACAUCCGAAUCCAAAAUUCAA